rnacentral:rRNA from 1 species
GACGGAGGGCGCAAGCGUUGUUCGGAAUUACUGGGCGUAAAGCGCGCGCAGGUGGUUUCUUAAGUCUGAUGUGAAAGCCCACGGCUCAACCGUGGAGGGUCAUUGGAAACUGGGGAACUUGAGUGCAGAAGAGGAAAGUGGAAUUCCAAGUGUAGCGGUGAAAUGCGUAGAGAUUUGGAGGAACACCAGUGGCGAAGGCGACUUUCUGGUCUGUAACUGACACUGAGGCGCGAAAGCGUGGGGAGCAAACAGG